CCUUAUUCAGUAGAGUCGUGAUGGUGACAAGAAACUCAUCACAACCUACAUGAAUGGGGUA
rnacentral:pre_miRNA from 1 species